GGCGAUGUCGCCCGGCUUGCCGGCCCCCAUCUCGUAGAUGGCGAAGUCGGCGUCCUCGGGCGCGUCGAGCACCGCCA
rnacentral:tRNA from 1 species